AUUGAACGCUGGCGGCAGGCCUAACACAUGCAAGUCGAACGAGUGGCGGACGGGUGAGUAAUGUCUGGGAAACUGCCCGAUGGAGGGGGAUAACUACUGGAAACGGUAGCUAAUACCGCGUACCAUCGGCUGUGCCCAGAUGGGAUUAGCUUGUAGGUGAGGUAACGGCUCACCUAGGCGACGAUCCCUAGCGGGUCUGAGCGGAGGACCAGCCACACUGGAAGUGCGACACGGUGCAGAAGCCUACGGGAGGCAGCAGUGGGGAAUAUUGCACAAUGGGCGCAAGACUGAUGCGGCCAUGCCGCGUGUAUGAAGAAGGCUUUCGGUUUGUAAAGUACUUUCAGCGGGGAGGCGUUACCCGCAGAAGAAGCACCGGCGAACUCCGGGCCAGCAGCCGCGGUAAUUC
rnacentral:rRNA from 1 species